AGAGGGGCCAGUUAUACUGUUAGACGGGCCAGUUAUACUGUUAGAGGGGCCAGUUAUACUGUUAGAGGGGCCAGUUAAACACACACAGGGCCAGUUAUACUGUUAGAGGGGCCAGUUGUACUGUUAGAGGGGGCCAGUUGUACUGUUAGAGGGGGCCAGUUGUACUGUUAGAGGGGGCCAGUUGUACUGUUAGAGGGGCCAGUUGUACUGUUAGAGGGGCCAGUUGUUCUGUUAGAGGGGGCCAGUUGUUCUGUUAGAGGGGGCCAGUUGUACUGUUAGAGGGGGCCAGUUAUACUGUUAGAGGGGCCAGUUGUACUGUUAGAGGGGGCCAGUUGUACUGUUAGAGGGGCCAGUUGUACUGUUAGAGGGGCCAGUUGUUCUGUUAGAGGGGCCAGUUGUUCUGUUAGAGGGGCCAGUUGUUCUGUUAGAGGGGGCCAGUUGUACUGUUAGAGGGGCCAGUUGUACUGUUAGAGGGGCCAGUUGUUCUGUUAGAGGGGGCCAGUUGUACUGUUAGAGGGGCCAGUUGUACUGUUAGUGGGGCCAGUUGUACUGUUAGAGGGGCCAGUUGUACUGUUAGAGGGGCCAGUUGUACUGUUAGAGGGGCCAGUUGUACUGUUAGAGGGGCCAGUUGUGCUGUUAGAGGGGCCAGUUGUACUGUUAGAGGGGCCA
rnacentral:lncRNA from 1 species